rnacentral:lncRNA from 1 species
GAUCAUCCCCGAGUGACAGGGGAUGGGGAGGGGAAUUAUAAUGUCACAAGCUCCUCCCACGAGUACAAGUGAUGGACUCUUCCUGCGAACGGUGUGUGCUAUCGAUUGUCUGAGCGGCUGGUGCAGUAUCAAUGGCUCCACAACCCCACUCGUCCACAGGGACAGAUGAGAAAAUAGCUUUGGUACCUGUCCGCCACCAUACCCGCCAUCACGCCCCUAAACUGAUUGUUCGAUGCCCAUUUUUGAGGUAGCGCAAACACUACCUCCCGCCUCGACAGAGUUCUGCAGGCCGCAGUCACCACUGCAAAGGAAGGACAACCAGUGCUUUCCGCUGUGGUGUUUCUUUCUUCAAAAAUCUACUUUUACACGUAAUUCAAGCUACAUAUUGUGCACUCCGUAUUCCCUGGUUCAGCUAGAUUCACGUAGCGUUUUCUAACUUGGAAAAGGCAGUUUGCUUCCCUGAUACUAUAAAAAAGAGCAAAAAAAAUAAAAAUCCCCAUACAAAAGUGAAGUCCCAUGGGUACCCCUGCCAUCGUGUCCUAGUGGCUAUUCUGUGUAACUCAGGCUCUUUGGGAUUGACUUCAAAAACUGUUUCUCGCCCUCCUGUUCCUCCCCUUUCCAUCUGCAGCAGUACCGAGAAAAGGAACACCUCUGUCUCACACUACCUUUGCCUUGUCCCUUCAAAGCCAUCAGGUGAACGUUAACUCUCUCAUCAGCUACUAAAAACUGGGAAACUGGGAGGGAAAGAGAAACCCCUUUGACUUGGAUCAGACGGCUGGUCUACUGCAUUCGGUCUGUCUGCAGCUGUUGAGGCUGAUACUGGCCGAAGGCUGCUGCGGCUGCAGCGGCCGC